UAGCUUCUCCAGCUUGAAUUGUGGGUUCAUAAGAAGAUCACUGAGGUUUUCAAAUCCAGAGUCUCCUAGUUGAUUUCCACUCAGGUCCAGUUCUCUCAGAUGUGAUGGGUUUGAUUUCAGAGCUGAAGUCAGAGCAGAACAUCCUUCAUCUGUCAUAUCACAGUAUCUUAAC